AGAGAAGGCAGACACCUGAUUGGUCUGUUCCCAUGGCAAUACACUAUGCCCUCAGUUCUUUCCUAACAAAUAAGCUAGAAUUCCCCCCAGUCCUAUGAAACAGGCACAUGACUAGUAAGUCUAUAGAAUCUUCUGACACAGAUCAGCAAAUCAUCUUAACUCAAAAUUGCAGAAAUACUAAAGGCCAAUAGCAAUGCUGUGACUCCACUGUAGACAGGAAAGAAUCUAAGUACUUGCUUUCCAAAAAUAACUCCAAACAGUCAGAUGACAGUAACAAAAUACCAGGAGCAUACGAUCUGGGACUCAGCUGUCAUCAAAGACAAAUGUCACCUUUUCUCUAUGUCUUCUCAGACCAGUAACUUGAGCAACUUUUGAAGAAACUGCUUCUCCUUCUGUAUUUUCAGUUCCUCUUCUGACCGAGCUUAUCAGUUGCUAUGAAAUUCUAUCUUAGAGUGCUGCUAUCUGUUCUUACAGGAAAUGCAGUUAGCUUUUGCUCUUCUGUAAUCUGUAGUCAACUGGUGUGGUCCUUAUAGCAGUAUCUGGAUUCCCGAAUAACUCAUCUUAAUGCAGCAAUAAAUGACAGAAAUGCCUUUUGUAAUUUAUUCCACCUCACAUGUGGAUUUUCUCUAACGUUGUUUGUCUUUAAGCAGACAUAAGACUACAUAUUUGGCAAUGGGUAUGUUACGGUUUCAAUGUUAAAUGUCCCCAAAAGGCCCAACAUACUCAAAUCUUGACCAUUAGCCUUUGGCGCUGCUGAGAUACAAUGGAAACAUUUAGAAAUAGAAACUUCCUGGAUGGAAACACGAUAAAUUGGGUAAUGUCCAAUUAUCAGGCGUAAGUCUACUAUGAUGUCUUACCCUACCACAGGCCCCAAAGAAGGCUAGGCAAUUGCUUUAAAGCCAUGGGGGAAAAUGAGUGUCUUCUCAUGGCAACAAAGAACUGAUUAAUACACAGAAUUAGAACUCCAGAGUUAGGAAAAGAAAACAUUUAGAAAAUAUUGCUCGUCUAAUCUCACAUUGUUACACAAGGACACAAAUCACCUCAGUGGCCUGAGAAUGGUUUUGCAUUUUGCACCUCAGGCAGAAAAAAAUAUACAUAAUUACAUUUGAUUUUCAGUUUCAAAUCUAAUUCAUUUCAGAGGUUAAAAAAAAUAGUUUCUUAUGCCAAAUUGGGGAAAGAUGUUCUCUGGCAAUAAAUCUUCACUUAUUCUCUCCAAUAAAAGUUGUUUUUCACCUAUUAUAAAACAAUCCCUUACUGUUACUUUCAUCAGCCAUCCAUUUCCAGAACUGUUAAGCAUUUUAGGGAACUCUUUGCAAAUUCUCCCCAAUCUCUCUGCAUUUAGAGCCCAGAGCUCGACACAGUCUUCCAGUAAAAAGCCAGCCCAGGCUUUGUGAAUAUUAAAGUUUGCGGCAUCCUUCCUCUCCCACUUACUGUUAAGCAGGGGCUGUAUGGUUACAAUUAUAUUUAAUGGGCCUGAGGUCUAUUAAACAUGAUUGAACUAUAAGAGGUCUGAAGCGAAGUGAAGAUUUACGUAAGUCCCAAAGACUUUAAAAGCUUAUUAUACAUCGAAAACCGUGACUGGAAAUACAGUGGAAAGUGAUGUGGAAGGGGAUUUAUUGAAUUUACUUCCAAGCCAAUUUAGGGGAAAGUUGGCUUUCUCUUUCUUGACUUUUUUACCCCUAAAUUAUCUUAGAAAUAGGAAUUAAAAGGAAAGGAUAUUUAUCAUGUACCUUGGGGUCCUAGAAUCACUCAAUGUGAAACUUAUGAGCUACAGUAGUAGAUUGUGCCAACUCCUUACAGUCUUGAUACUAAGUCCGGCAGUCUGAAAGAACCGGGAUUCCCAUCAAUUGGGAAUAUGUGACUCUGCACAGUGAAAGGAAAGCUGGUGGCAUUCUGUAUACCCUAGAGGGUGACUUGUAAACAAGACACACAUUUUAUAACGUUGAAACUCAGCCACCUAAUGAUAUUUUGCAAAGCCCCAUGUUUAGAAUCUUAGCUAGAACAUGUGCUGUCACUCAAACAUAAAGGAGCCCCAGAAAUUUUGGGUGAUUUCUCAGAAGUCCCCUUGUUCAGAACAAAUGGGAAGCUUCAUAGCAUCAUCAAGUGAAAGUGGAGAUGUGUUUGCUUUGUUAAGAGAGUCACACAAAUGAACAUUUUAAUGGCAAUCUUGCUGUUUUUCAAGAUGAACGAUGGUGUAGUCAAAAGACCACACCAUAAAUGGAAGCUAUGGAGACAGUGAGGAUUUUUCUAGGAAUUUUACUAUCUGAGUAAAAUAUCAUACGGGACUUGGAGAUGACAGUGAUGUGCAAGAGCCUCCCAUCAACUGUGACUAAAUAAAAGUCAUGCUGGUCCAUAGUAUACAGGAGAGCUUUCUUUCUAAAUUUUCCUAUCUCCUUCAGCAAUGAGAUUUUUAUUCUGAUCCAGACUCCAUGGAUUUUUCAUAAGUUAUUUUGCCUGAUUAUUAUUCACUACAGUGAAAAGCUCAAAUCCAAUGUUUGAAGUCCACUCAACAGUUAUCUGAUACUAAUUUCUAAGGAAUGUCAGAGAAGUCUGUGUUCUCAUUCCCUCAGCAUUUAUUUCUAUUCAUGUCAAGCCAUGUGGAAAGCCUUAACGACAAAUGAUGUCAGCUGCUUCUAAGGACCAUCCACCCUGCAACUGACUGACUUACUUUUUCAUAAUUAUUCAGCCUGUAUAACCAAAUUAUACAGUCAAAUGGAAUGGUUGCGUCAGAGGCAUAUUUUAACUCUUAGUUAUAGCAAUGUGUGUUAUAAUGUAAGCAUUCAAAUAAAGUAAUAUAAUAUUCAAUUUAAAAAUAAUAAAAUGAAAGGGUGAAUAAUGACAUUUUUUACUUUGUCAGAAUGAUGUUUCUUACUGAUUUUUAUAAUUGGCG
rnacentral:lncRNA from 1 species